rnacentral:rRNA from 1 species
GAGGGUGAUAGUCCCGUAUGUAAAAACGGUUUCUCUCUCCGAGGAUACCUCGAGUAGCGCGAUCCACGUGGAAGGUCGUGUGAAUCUGGGGGGCCCACCCCCCAAGGCUAAAUACUACCUGGCGACCGAUAGUGAAUAGUAGGGCGACUGAAAAGUGAUAAGCACCCCUGUUAGGGGAGUGAAAUAGUACCUGAAACCAUGCACUUACAAGCGGUGAGAGGACUAUGAGUGCUUCGGCACCACGUCUGAUCGCGUGCCUUUUGCUUAAUGAGUCCGGGAGUUACCGUCAGCAGCAAGGUUAAGUCCUUAAGGGAUGGAGCCGCAGGGAAACCGAGUGCGAAAUGCGCGAUUAAGUUGUUGGGGGUAGACCCGAAAGCGGGUGAUCUAUCCAUGGGCAGGUUGAAGGGGAUGUAACAGUUCCUGGAGGACCGAACGGUUGUAUGUUGAAAAAUGCUCCGAUGACCUGUGGAUAGGAGUAAAAGUCUAAUCAAACUCGCAGAUAUCUGGUUCUCCCCGAAAUAGCUUUCGGGCUAGCCUCACGUGAUAGUUUAUGGGGGUAGAGAGACUGAUUGGGACUGUGGGGGCCACAAGCCUACCCUUCCCAGCCAAACUCCGAAUACCGUAAACCCUAUCGUGGGAGUCAGACCAUGGGGGAUAAGCUCCUUGGUCAAGAGGGAAACAGCCCAGACCGCCGGUUAAGGUCCCAAAUGCAUACUGAGUGCGGAAGGAAGUGGAUUUGCUAAGACAGCCAGGAUGUUGGCUUAGAAGCAGCCAUCAUUUAAAAAGUGCGUAAUAGCUUACUGGUCGAGCAAGUCUGCGCCGAAAAUGAUCGGGACUGAAGUAUGCAACCGAAACCGCGGCUGUUAGGAAGGAGAGUCUUCCUAACGGGGUAGGGGAGCGUUCCACGCUAGGUUGAAGGCGGACCGUAAGGACCGCUGGACGAUGUGGAAGUGAUUAUCCGGACAUGAGUAGCGAUAAACAGAGUGAGAAGCUCUGUCGCCGUAAGCCUAAGGUUUCCUGGGGAAGGUAACUCCGCCCAGGGUGAGUCGGAUCCUAAGACGAGGCCGAAAGGCGUAGUCGAUGGACAACCGGUUAAUAUUCCGGUACCACUCAUAGUGUUAUGAUGAUGGCGGGACGUGGAUGCAAUUAAGUACCGGCGAUUGGAAGUGCCGGGUUAAGCCCGAGGGUGGUUGAUAGGAAAAUCCGUCAACGGAAUCCCAGAGGUGACGACGAGCUUCUUCGGAAGCGAAGUCUUUUGCGUGUCCACCAAGAAAAGCGUCGGUUCGGAGUGCUAUGGGUGUCCGUACUAAAACCAACACAGGUAGGCGAGGCGAGUAGCCUCAGGCGAUCGAGAGAACCCAGGAAAAGGAACUCGGCAAAAUGAUUCCGUAACUUAGGGAUAAGGUUUGCCUCCAACUAGGAGGACCACCCGGUCCAAAAAGAAGGAGGCCGCAGCGAAUCGGCUGAAGCGACUGUUUAGCAAAAACACAGGUCUGUGCUAAGACGAAAAGUCGACGUAUACAGACUGACGCCUGCCCGAUGCCGGAAGGUUAAGGGGAAGGGUUAGCCCUAGCGGCGAAGCUCAUAACCGAAGCCCCGGUGAAUGGCGGCCGUAACUAUAACGGUCCUAAGGUAGCGAAAUUCCUUGUCGGGUAAGUUCCGACAUGCACGAAUGGCGUAACGAUGGCUACACUGUCUCAACCAGAGACUCAGUGAAAUUG